rnacentral:rRNA from 1 species
AAUGAACGCUGGCGGCGCGCCUAAUACAUGCAAGUCGAGCGAGAAGACGUAGCAAUACGUUUGUAAAGCGGCGAACGGGUGAGGAAUACAUGGGUAACCUACCCUCGAGUGGGGAAUAACUAGCCGAAAGGUUAGCUAAUACCGCGUACGCUCCUUGGACUUCGGUUCAGGGAGGAAAGCGAUACCGUGGGUAUCGCGCUCUUGGUUGGGCUCAUGUCCUAUCAGCUUGUUGGUGAGGAACGGCUCACCAAGGCUUCGACGGGUAGCUGGUCUGAGAGGACGAUCAGCCACACUGGCACUGCGACACGGGCCAGACUCCUACGGGAGGCAGCAGUAAGGAAUAUUGCGCAAUGGGCGAAAGCCUGACGCAGCGACGCCGCGUGGGGGAUGAAGGUCUUCGGAUUGUAAACCCC